CUCUAGCCCCCUCCCGCGGGAGUCGCGGCGCUGCGGGUAGGAGCCGGGUUGCGGGAGACCCCAGGUUCGGUUGGGAUUCCCAGCCAGAACGGAGCUUAAGCCGGGCAGGCGAGCGAAUGACGGAGUAGCGAGCUGCACGGCGGCGUGCUGCGCUGUUGAGGACGCUGUCCCGCGCGCUCCCAGGCCGCCCCGAGGCUUGGGGUCUUCGAAGGAUAAUCGGCGCCCGGGGCCGAACAGCGGGGGCACACGGGGCGCUGCCGAAGUGCAAGGCCACGGCCAGAGCUCGAGCCCGACGCGCUGUCUGGAGUCGUAGGUUGGCGCCGUUUGGGGUCGGGGUCUGAGGCUUGGGCGCUGCCUGGGCCGAGCGGAGAUCGGGGUUUGCCUCCCGUCCCCGCUCAGGACCCUGACGUGGCUGAAGCGGCCCCGGGAGCAUGAGCGGGCAGCGCGUGGACGUCAAGGUGGUGAUGCUGGGCAAGGAGUACGUGGGCAAGACUAGCCUGGUGGAGCGCUACGUGCACGACCGCUUUCUGGUGGGGCCUUAUCAGAACACCAUCGGGGCCGCCUUCGUGGCCAAGGUGAUGUCGGUCGGAGACCGGACUGUGACAUUAGGUAUUUGGGACACAGCAGGCUCUGAGCGCUAUGAGGCCAUGAGUAGAAUCUACUAUCGGGGUGCCAAGGCUGCCAUCGUCUGCUAUGACCUCACAGACAGCAGCAGCUUUGAGCGAGCAAAGUUCUGGGUGAAGGAACUGCGCAGCCUAGAGGAGGGCUGCCAAAUCUACUUAUGUGGCACCAAGAGUGACCUGCUGGAAGAAGACCGGAGGCGUCGACGUGUGGACUUCCACGACGUCCAGGACUAUGCAGACAGUAGCUGCUCCUCAGCCCUUUGGGGGGUGGGGGUGUGUGGCUGUCUGGGUGGAUCAAAGAAAAUAGGGACUGCCUUGGCUGCCAGGGCAAGGUGCUCUAGGAGGUCUUCCUGGCCUCCUUGAACUGUGGGGUCCAGGAGACUCCCUGAACUGCUAGCCCUCCCUUUUGUCUGUUUAUCUAAUUCUCAGGUAUGAGGCUUUAGUCACUUCUCUUUACAGAUAUCAAAGCUCAGCUCUUUGAAACAUCCAGCAAGACAGGCCAGAGUGUGGACGAGCUCUUCCAGAAAGUGGCAGAGGAUUACGUCAGUGUGGCUGCCUUCCAGGUGAUGACAGAGGACAAGGGCGUGGAUCUGGGCCAGAAGCCAAACCCCUACUUCUACAGCUGUUGUCAUCACUGAGUCAGCACUCACCUGGCCUGGGGGAAUUAAAGGAAUUCCCCGUAAGGGCUGGACCCAGCUCCUUUCUGGGCUUGGGUAGUCAAAUGUCUGAGCUACCCCAGGUCCUCAUGUCAGCAGAGUGGCGCCUGCCUGUGCUGGCCCAUGGAACGGAGACAGCAUUGGGCUGACUGUGGGCAUGAGGAGGGAUAAGGCUGAUUUGGACCCCAGGCUUCUGCCCUGGACAGCACUUGUGUCUGCAGAUUAUUUAAGUGGCUUUUGAUCUGUAAAUAAAAUCAGUGCACUGUGCAUCACACCCAGCCCCUUUCCCUGCUGUGUGGAUUAGGUGUCAAGACACCUAGUUCUUCCUGGGGCCACCCGGCUGGCCUCACUGCUUAUAUUAAGGCUCCUCCCAACUCUCAUUUUCCUUUGGAAAACAAGACUUUUUUCCCCAUGGUUACCGCUGAGAUACUGGGGCUGUAGUAGUAUAAAAGCUCACAGUUCCUUCUGAGUGCUGAAAAGAGUGCAUGAGUUGCUUCGAAAUAAAAGGGUCAAGCAUUCCUACCUGA